rnacentral:misc_RNA from 1 species
GUGGGAGCAAGGCUUGCCCGCGAUGCAAACACCUCGGUGUAACUGAUAGACCGAGGCGAUGCCAUCGCGGGCAAGCCUUGCUCCCAC